GAGUUUACAACUCCCAAACCCAAUGUGAACGUUACCAAACUGUUGCCUCGGCGGGAUCUCUGCCCCGGGUGCGUCGCAGCCCCGGACCAAGGCGCCCGCCGGAGGACCAACCAAAACUCUUUUUGUAUACCCCCUCGCGGGUUUUUUAUAAUCUGAGCCUUCUCGGCGCCUCUCGUAGGCGUUUCGAAAAUGAAUCAAAACUUUCAACAACGGAUCUCUUGGUUCUGGCAUCGAUGAAAAACGCAGCGAAAUGCGAUAAGUAAUGUGAAUUGCAAAAUUCAGUGAAUCAUCGAAUCUUUGAACGCACAUUGCGCCCGCCAGUAUUCUGGCGGGCAUGCCUGUCCGAGCGUCAUUUCAACCCUCGAACCCCUCCGGGGGGUCGGCGUUGGGGAUCGGCCCUCCCUUAGCGGGUGGCCGUCUCCGAAAUACAGUGGCGGUCUCGCCGCAGCCUCUCCUGCGCAGUAGUUUGCACACUCGCAUCGGGAGCGCGGCGCGUCCACAGCCGUUAAACACCCAACUUCUGAAAUGUUGACCUCGGAUCAGGUAGGAAUACCCGC
rnacentral:rRNA from 1 species